AUUGAACGCUGGCGGAAUGCUUUACACAUGCAAGUCGAACGGCAGCACGGGGGCAACCCUGGUGGCGAGUGGCGAACGGGUGAGUAAUACAUCGGAACGUGCCCAGUCGUGGGGGAUAACGUAGCGAAAGCUACGCUAAUACCGCAUACGAACUGAGGUUGAAAGCGGGGGAUCGCAAGACCUCGCGCGAUUGGAGCGGCCGAUGGCAGAUUAGGUAGUUGGUGGGGUAAAGGCUCACCAAAGCCGACGAUCUGUAGCUGGUCUGAGAGGACGACCAGCCACACUGGGACUGAGACACGGCCCAGACUCCUACGGGAGGCAGCAGUGGGGAAUUUUGGACAAUGGGCGCAAGCCUGAUCCAGCCAUUCCGCGUGCAGGAUGAAGGCCCUCGGGUUGUAAACUGCUUUUGUACGGAACGAAAAGGUGCUCUCUAAUACAGGGCGCUGAUGACGGUACCGUAAGAAUAAGCACCGGCUAACUACGUGCCAGC
rnacentral:rRNA from 1 species